AUCCAGCUGACGAGUCCUGAAUAGGAGGAAGCGUGCGUCCUGGAU
rfam:Schistosoma mattheei strain Denwood, Zambia genome assembly, scaffold: SMTD_scaffold0000664